rnacentral:sRNA from 1 species
CUUGGUCAUUUAGAGGAAGUAAAAGUCGUAACAAGGUUUCCGUAGGUGAACCUGCGGAAGGAUCAUUAGUGAUUGCCAUCUUGGCUUAAACUAUAUCCAUCUACACCUGUGAACCGUUUGAUUGAAUCUUCUGAUUCAAUUUUACAAACAUUGUGUAAUGAACGUCAUUAGAUCAUAACAAAAAAAAACUUUUAACAACGGAUCUCUUGGCUCUCGCAUCGAUGAAGAACGCAGCGAAAUGCGAUAAGUAAUGUGGAAUUGCAGAAUUCAGUGAAUCAUCGAAUCUUUGAACGCAACUUGCGCUCUCUGGUAUUCCGGAGAGCAUGCCUGUUUGAGUGUCAUGAAAUCUCAACCAUUAGGGUUUCUUAAUGGCUUGGAUUUGGAGGUUGCCAUUCUAAAUGGCUCCUCUUAAAGGAGUUAGCAAGUUUUACUAUUGCUAUCUGGCGUAAUAAGUUUCGCUGGAAUGGUAUUGUGAAGCGUGCUUCUAAUCGUCUUCGGACAAUUACUUUGACUCUGGCCUCAAAUCAGGUAGGACUACCCGCUGAACUUAAGCAUAUCAAUAAGCGGAGGAAAAGAAACUAACAAGGAUUCCCUUAGUAACGGCGAGUGAACCGGGAAGAGCUCAAAUUUGUAAUCUGGCUGUCUUCGAUAGUCCGAGUUGUAAUCUAUAGAAGCGUUUUCCGUGCUGAACUGUGUAUAAGUCCCUUGGAACAGGGUAUCAAAGAGGGUGACAAUCCCGUACUUUACACAAUCAUCAGUGCUCUGUGAUACGUUCUCUACGAGUCGAGUUGUUUGGGAAU